UUUUUGCAGAUUUUUCUGAAGUAUGAAUUUACUUUUCCUAUAAUAGUUUCAUAAUCUGCUUAGAUAAUGUUAUAUCUGUUUCAUAAACUGCUUGAUCUUUAUGGCUUUGUAAUGUUAUCUGCUAUUUGGUCCAUUGGUUCUUGAAGUGACUGUCUGUUGAGCUAUAACAAUUUUAUUGAGCUUAUCAGACAUUAUUGUUUAAUAUUGCUUUUAAGAUUUGAUUGAUGUCUAAUAUUUGCAUUUGGUGUUUGUAUAUUUUGUGGUUGUCUUUGGGUAUGAUGCAUCUAAUAUUGUAGAAUUUGUUUCUGACUUAGAAUUCUUCAUUUCCUGUAAUAUUAACCUUAAGUUUUUGUUCAAGCCAGGAAAUGAUUCGUUUGAUGAGAGAGAGGCGUUUUCCUGCUGCUUUUAAGUGUUACCAUAACUUUCACAAAAUUGGUUCUGUAUCUAGUGACAACCUGUUCUUCAAAAUGGUCAUCCAUGUCCACAGCGAUUCAGCAUUUCGACGCUAUCAGAAAGAGAUGAGGAACAAACCAGGAUUGUGGCCUCUAUAUCGAGGGUUGAGCACUUGCUGAGGGAUGUGAAGGAUACAACCAUUAGCACCCUUGCAACAGAGGAUGCUGAGGGUUUAAUUGUGCUCAACAUAGGCAGCUAUAUGGGUGGAGUUGAUCUUUGGCAAAAUGAUUAUGAGCAUGACGAUGAUUUCAAUCUUCAGUCCAUGCAUGACAAAACACUUGAGGUGGUGUGCAUUUCUGGAGCAUGGCACCUUGGGAAACUUCAGGUACAAAAUCUUGGUUUCUACUAAUCCUCCAAAUCAUUGUAAUAAGUGAUUGAAAUGGGUUCACCCAGCUGCCAAAAUGUAUGCUUCAUAGUAAGUUUAUUUGUAUAUGCUACCACAAUGAGU